rnacentral:ncRNA from 1 species
CCUAGCAGUGCGAGUCAUCAGCUCACAUUAACUACGUUCCUGCCCUUUCUACAUACCACUCAUCGCUCCUAUGGAUUGAAUGGUCUGGUGAAGUAUUUGGAUCGCGGUGAUGUAGGUGGUUCACCACUGGCAAUGUCGCGAGAAGUCUACCGAACCUUAUCAUUUAGAGGAAGCAGAAGUCAUAAGACUAUUAAUUUUGAAGAGUUUGCAGACCCACUU